AUUGAACGCUGGCGGCAGGCCUAACACAUGCAAGUCGAACGGUAACAGGAAGCAGCUUGCUGCUUCGCUGACGAGUGGCGGACGGGUGAGUAAUGUCUGGGAAACUGCCUGAUGGAGGGGGAUAACUACUGGAAACGGUAGCUAAUACCGCAUAACGUCGCAAGACCAAAGAGGGGGCCUUAGGGCCUCUUGCCAUCGGAUGUGCCCAGAUGGGAUUAGCUAGUAGGUGGGGUAACGGCUCACCUAGGCGACGAUCCCUAGCUGGUCUGAGAGGAUGACCAGCCACACUGGAACUGAGACACGGUCCAGACUCCUACGGGAGGCAGCAGUGGGGAAUAUUGCACAAUGGGCGCAAGCCUGAUGCAGCCAUGCCGCGUGUAUGAAGAAGGCCUUCGGGUUGUAAAGUACUUUCAGCGGGGAGGAAGGGAGUAAAGUUAAUACCUUUGCUCAUUGACGUUACCCGCAGAAGAAGCACCGGCUAACUCCGUG
rnacentral:rRNA from 1 species